rnacentral:rRNA from 1 species
AGAGUUUGAUCAUGGCUCAGGACGAACGCUGGCGGCGUGCUUAACACAUGCAAGUCACGGGGGCCCGCAAGGGUAACCGGCGAACGGGUGCGUAACACGUGAGCAAUCUGCCGUACACUGGGGGAUAGCCGGCCCAACGGCCGGGUAAUACCGCAUACGUUCUUCGAGUGGCAUCACUUGAAGAAGAAACCUCCGGGGGUGUACGAGGAGCUCGCGGCCUAUCAGGUAGUUGGUGGGGUCACGGCCUACCAAGCCAUUGACGGGUAGCUGGUCUGAGAGGAUGGCCAGCCACAUUGGGACUGAGAUACGGCCCAGACUCCUACGGGAGGCAGCAGUGGGGAAUAUUGCGCAAUGGCCGCAAGGCUGACGCAGCGACGCCGCGUGGGGGAUGAAGCAUUUCGGUGUGUAAACCCCUGUUGCUCGGGACGAACAACGAGUUUCGACUCGUCUGACGGUACCGGGUGAGGAAGCACCGGCUAACUCCGUGCCAGCAGCCGCGGUAAUACGGAGGGUGCGAGCGUUGUCCGGAAUCACUGGGCGUAAAGGGCGCGUAGGCGGUCUGCUAAGCGUGUGGUGAAAGCUCGGGGCUCAACCCCGCGUCGGCCAUGCGAACUGGUGGACUUGAGCACUGUAGAGGCAGGUGGAAUUCCGGGUGUAGCGGUGGAAUGCGUAGAGAUCCGGAAGAACACCGGUGGCGAAGGCGGCCUGCUGGGCAGUAGCUGACGCUGAGGCGCGACAGCGUGGGGAGCAAACAGGAUUAGAUACCCCGGUAGUCC